GACGAACGCUGGCGGCGUGCUUAACACAUGCAAGUCGAACGGAAAGGCCCUGCUUUUGUGGGGUGCUCGAGUGGCGAACGGGUGAGUAACACGUGAGUAACCUGCCCUUGACUUUGGGAUAACUUCAGGAAACUGGGGCUAAUACCGGAUAGGAGCUCCUGCUGCAUGGUGGGGGUUGGAAAGUUUCGGCGGUUGGGGAUGGACUCGCGGCUUAUCAGCUUGUUGGUGGGGUAGUGGCUUACCAAGGCUUUGACGGGUAGCCGGCCUGAGAGGGUGACCGGCCACAUUGGAACUGAGAUACGGCCCAGACUACUACGGGAGGCAGCAGUGGGGAAUAUUGCACAAUGGGCGGAAGCCUGAUGCAGCAACGCCGCGUGCGGGAUGACGGCCUUCGGGUUGUAAACCGCUUUCGCCUGUGACGAAGCGUGAGUGACGGUAAUGGGUAAAGAAGCACCGGCUAACUACGUG
rnacentral:rRNA from 1 species